AAGGAUCAUUAAUGAAUUUUGAAAGGGGUUGUAGCUGGCCGUCUCUUUGGGGCGGCAUGUGCACGCCCUGAUCACUAUCCAUCUCACACACCUGUGCACACACUGUAGGUUGGCUUGUGAUYGGAGYUUACAGUCUUCAUUGACUUUGCUCUGGUUGGAGGCCCUCCUAUGUAUUAUCACAAACUACUUCAGUUUAAAGAAUGUACUCUUGCGUCUAACGCAUUUAAAUACAACUUUCAGCAACGGAUCUCUUGGCUCUCGCAUCGAUGAAGAACGCAGCGAAAUGCGAUAAGUAAUGUGAAUUGCAGAAUUCAGUGAAUCAUCGAAUCUUUGAACGCACCUUGCGCUCCUUGGUAUUCCGAGGAGCAUGCCUGUUUGAGUGUCAUGGAAUUCUCAACUCUAUUUGCUUUUGUGAAUAGAGCUUGGAUUUGGAGGUUUAUUGCUGGUACUUGUGAUCGGCUCCUCUUGAAUGCAUUAGCUCGAACCUUUGCGGAUCAGCUAUCGGUGUGAUAAUUGUCUACGCCGUUGCAGUGAAGCAUAUCAAUGGGCUCGGCUUCCAAUCGUCCUUUACUGGACAAUGACUUUGACCUUUGACCUCAAAUCAGGUAGGAUUACCCGCUGAACUUAA
rnacentral:rRNA from 1 species